rnacentral:rRNA from 1 species
UAUAAUGCAGUCGAGCGACCGAUUAGAGCUUGCUCUUAUGAAGUUAGCGGCGGACGGGUGAGUACACGUGGGUAACCUGCCCAUAAGACUGGGAUAACUCCGGGAAACCGGGGCUAAUACCGGAUAAUAUUUUGCGCCUCAUGGCGCGAAAUUGAAAGGCGGCUUCGGCUGUCACUUAUGGAUGGACCCGCGUCGCAUUAGCUAGUUGGUGAGGUAACGGCUCACCAAGGCGACGAUGCGUAGCCGACCUGAGAGGGUGAUCGGCCACACUGGGACUGAGACACGGCCCAGACUCCUACGGGAGGCAGCAGUAGGGAAUCUUCCGCAAUGGACGAAAGUCUGACGGAGCAACGCCGCGUGAGUGAUGAAGGCUUUCGGGUCGUAAAACUCUGUUGUUAGGGAAGAACAAGUGUGAGUUGAAUAAGCUCACGCCUUGACGGUACCUAACCAG